rnacentral:tRNA from 3 species
GCCCAGGUAGCUCAGUCGGUAGAGCAGCGGAUUGAAAAUCCGCGUGUCGGCAGUUCGAUUCUGUCCCUGGGCACCA